rnacentral:rRNA from 1 species
UACGUAGGGGGCUAGCGUUGUCCGGAUUUAUUGGGCGUAAAGAGCGUGUAGGCGGCCCGGUAAGUCCGCUGUGAAAGUCGGGGGCUCAACCCUCGAAUGCCGGUGGAUACUGUCGGGCUAGAGUGCGGGAGAGGCGAGUGGAAUUCCUGGUGUAGCGGUGAAAUGCGCAGAUAUCAGGAGGAACACCGAUUGCGAAGGCAGCUCGCUGGAACGUAACUGACGCUGAGACGCGAAAGCGUGGGGAGCAAACAGG